rnacentral:rRNA from 1 species
UACGAAGGGUGCAAGCGUUACUCGGAAUUACUGGGCGUAAAGCGUGCGUAGGUGGUUGUUUAAGUCUGUUGUGAAAGCCCUGGGCUCAACCUGGGAAUUGCAGUGGAUACUGGGCGACUAGAGUGUGGUAGAGGGUAGUGGAAUUCCCGGUGUAGCAGUGAAAUGCGUAGAUAUCGGGAGGAACACCAGUGGCGAAGGCGGCUACCUGGCCCACUCUUGACGCUGAGGCGCGAAAGCUAGGGGAGCAAACGGG